CCUACGGGAGGCAGCAGUGAGGAAUAUUGGUCAAUGGCCGUAAGGCUGAACCAGCCAAGUCGCGUGAAGGAAGAAGGAUCUAUGGUUUGUAAACUUCUUUUAUAGGGGAAUAAAGGUAUCCAAGUGUGGAUAUUUGCAUGUACCCUAUGAAUAAGCAUCGGCUAAAUCCGUGCCAGCAGCCGCGGUAAUACGGAGGAUGCGAGCGUUAUCCUGAUUUAUUGGGUUUAAAGGGUGCGUAGAUUGUUUUUUAAGUCAGCGGUGAAAGGUUGUGGCUCAACCAUACAAUGGCCGUUGAAACUGGAAGACUUUAGUGUGUUUGAGGUAGGCGGAAUGCGUGGUGUAGCGGGGAAAUGCAUAGCUAUCACGCAGAACUCCGAUUGCGAAGGCAGCUUACUAAGCCAUAACUGACACUGAAGCACGAAAGCGUGGGGAUCAAACAGGAUUAGAUACCCCGGUAGUC
rnacentral:rRNA from 1 species